GCUGGUGUAGCUCAGUUGGCAGAGCAGCGCACUCGUAAUGCGCAGGUCGUCGGUUCGACUCCGACCACCAGCUC
rnacentral:tRNA from 1 species